rnacentral:tRNA from 1 species
AAAGGGAGACCUAAUUCAGGUAAAAGACGAAAAAAAAGUAGUCGCUACCAAGAAUCAAUCCCAAAAGGUCGGAGCGAGGCGAAAUUGGCUUUCAAACUAGGUUCUGGGUUCAAACAAGACCUGAAUCAGGAACAAGGGCUAUUAGCUCAGGUGGUUAGAGCGCACCCCUGAUAAGGGUGAGGUCCCUGGUUCGAGUCCAGGAUGGCCCACCUGUACAGGUGGCAAAAAGAAAGAAAAGAAGCGAGGAAUCAGCACCUUAUCUUACUGACAUAGUAAGAGAGAAUGCUGGCUCUGAGUAAAGAGUCCAGAGGAGCCUUGAAAACUGCAUAGAGCUAGGUGAAAAAGCCAAAAAAGAAGACCGCAAG